GACGAUAAGACCCUAAAAGCUUUAUUUUUGUAGUGCGUUUAGGUAAAAAAGGAUCACGGAGUUAACUGGGGUAGUAGUUACACGGAGUCUGUGAUUUAGGUUGGUUAGGAAAAAAGUUGAAAGGUCUUUUAGAUAAGGAUAUGUUGAGUGAGUUACUUUAGGGUUAACAGCACGAUAUUUUUAGGGAGGUCUUAUCUAUGAGAAUGUUUGUGACCUCGAUGUUGAAUUAUAAUUUCUUUUUGGAGCAAAGGCUAGUGGAGAGGGUUUGUUCAACCUUUAUAUUUUUACAUGAUCUGAGU
rnacentral:rRNA from 1 species